rnacentral:rRNA from 1 species
UACGUAGGUGGCAAGCGUUGUCCGGAAUUAUUGGGCGUAAAGCGCGCGCAGGCGGUUCCUUAAGUCUGAUGUGAAAAGCCCCCCGGCUCAACCGGGGAGGGUCAUUGGAAACUGGGGAACUUGAGUGCAGAAGAGAAGAGCGGAAUUCCACGUGUAGCGGUGAAAUGCGUAGAGAUGUGGAGGAACACCAGUGGCGAAGGCGGCUCUCUGGUCUGUAACUGACGCUGAGGCGCGAAAGCGUGGGGAGCGAACAGG